rnacentral:misc_RNA from 1 species
AAAGUCGUAACAAGGUUUCCGUAGGUGAACCUGCGGAAGGAUCAUUAACGAAUCGUUUGGUGGGGGGGGAUGUGAUGUGAGUAUAUUUGAGAAUUUGAGUAUAUUUGAAUAUUCAUCCCAUCCCCCUCUCCAUAUUAACCCCGUGCCUUGCCCCUGGGGGUUUGGCACAAUUAGUAGUCUCGGCUACUAAUAUAUUCACGCUUGUUUGUUUGACUAUAAAAUCAAUAUCAAAUAUACACAACUUUUAACAAUGGAUCUCUUGGCUCUC